CGGUCCAGACUCCUACGGGAGGCAGCAGUAGGGAAUUUUCCGCAAUGGGCGAAAGCCUGACGGAGCACUGCCGCGUGAGUGAGAAAGGCCUUGGUCUCAUAACUCUGUUAUAUUAGAAGAAACAAAUUAUAGAGAAACAGCUACAGUCUAGACGGUAUCUUAUCAGAAAACCACGGCUAACUACUUGUGCCAGCAGCCGCGGUAA
rnacentral:rRNA from 1 species